rnacentral:rRNA from 1 species
UUGAGAGUUUGAUCCUGGCUCAGGAUGAACGCUGGCGGCGUGCCUAACACAUGCAAGUUGAGCGAUUUACUUUGGUAAAGAGCGGCGGACGGGUGAGUAACGCGUGGGUAACCUACCCUGUACACACGGAUAACAUACCGAAAGGUAUGCUAAUACGGGAUAAUAUAUUUGAGAGGCAUCUCUUAAAUAUCAAAGGUGAGCCAGUACAGGAUGGACCCGCGUCUGAUUAGCUAGUUGGUAAGGUAACGGCUUACCAAGGCGACGAUCAGUAGCCGACCUGAGAGGGUGAUCGGCCACAUUGGAACUGAGACACGGUCCAAACUCCUACGGGAGGCAGCAGUGGGGAAUAUUGCACAAUGGGCGAAAGCCUGA